UUAAAGAAAUAAUAAUAAUCAGACAGGGGCAGCGUGUUAGAAGAUAAACUCAGCAGCACCUCAAAACGACGCGUGGCCUUCUUCUUCCUCGCGCAGAUGCGCCUCACAGAGCCACAAAGCGGCACUGAAGCUCGCCGCCGACGCAAAUGCUAAGCGUGCAAACAGCUAAAUAACGGAACGCCUGAGCUCCGACGAGCACCUAGGCAACGCCUUCGGAAACCUAGAUCUAUAGAAUAUCAAUUGAGCUUCAGCUUCCAGCUUCAGUAGAAGUCAUCAAUAGUAAUGUUUAGAAGACACAAUAUUGCUGCCAGGAUUUUCGACCGCCAAAUUUCCACUGUUGCUCCUGGCACUAGUGUUCACCAUACCAGGCGAUUUUACGAGAAUUUAGUCCCUAAUUGUACCAUAUAUGAAGUUGAGUGCCCAGACCAUCUAUACCGUAAAAUCACUGAGGAUGGUCAAUACCUCAUAUGUUUCAGUAGAAAUCAUCAGGAUCUGAUUGUUUAUAGACCAACGUGGCUUUCAUAUUCAUGCAAGGAAGAAUGCGAUACUAAUGAUCUUCCCCCAAAAGCAAAGAGGUUUGAGAGCUUCUUCAGCCAACUGUACUGUGUAUCACUUGCUUCUAGCAAUGAGCUUAUAUGCAAGGACUUUUUUCUUUACAUGGAGAGUAACCAAUUUGGACUAUUUGCUACUUCUACUACACAAAAUCAUGAUGCGCCUGUUGGAGGAGCUGUUCAGGGAGUCCCCUCAAUAGAAAAGAUAACUUUUCACCUCUUGAGAUUGGAAGAUGGAGUUGUUCUGGAUCAGAAGUGCUUUCACAACGAUUUUAUUAACCUGGCCCAUAACAUGGGUGUCUUCUUGUAUGAUGAUUUACUGGCAAUUGUGUCAAUUCGCUAUCAAACAAUACACAUACUGCAAAUCAGGGACUCUGGGAACCUUGUUGACAUACGAGCAAUUGGGACAUUUUGUCGUGAAGAUGAUGAGCUUUUUCUCAAUUCAAGCACUCAGAGUAUGCUUAGUCAUGAAAAAGGUAAACUGCAUCAACUGCCUGAGAAUCCUGUUGAGAAUGGUUUACAUCAGAGUGAGCCUUCAUCAGACUAUUGCUUUCUUAGUGGAAUCAAACAGCGGUUGCUCUCUUUCAUAUUUAGAGGAAUAUGGAAUGAAGAACCAGAUCAGGCAUUGAGGGUCCAAUCCCUGAAGAAGAAGUUCUAUUUCCAUUUCCAAGACUAUGUUGACUUGGUGAUCUGGAAGGUACAAUUCUUGGACCGGCACCACCUGCUAAUAAAGUUUGGUAGUGUAGAUGGAGGGGUAUCACGUAAUGCUGAUCAGCACCCAGCCUUUUUUGCGGUAUAUAACAUGGAGACAACUGAAAUCGCAGCUUUUUAUCAGAAUACGGCAGAUGAGCUUUAUCUCCUGUUUGAGCAAUUCUGCGAUCACUUUCAUGCAACAUCAAGAAAUUCGUUGUAUUUGAAUUUCAUUUCAUCCCACUCAAAUAACAUGCAUGCUCGGGAGCAACUAAGAAGUGCUAAAAAUAAAGCAAGUAGUUCUUUGCAGUUUGUGAAGAAGAUGCUAGUUUCUUUGCCUUUUAGUUGUCAGUCGCAGAGCCCUUCUCCCUACUUUGACCAAUCUCUUUUUCGCUUUGAUGAAAAGUUGAUUUCUGCGACUGAUCGGCAUAGACAGUCAACAGACCAUCCCAUCAAGUUCAUCUUAAGAAGGCCACCAAAUACGCUGAAAUUUAAAAUCAAGACAGGUCCAGAAGCUGGUAGCACAGACAGUCGAACAAAAAAGAUUUCUUCAUUUAUUUUUCAUCCAUUUUUGCCUCUUGCUCUCUCUAUUCAGCAGAAUUUGUCGUUGCAGCCAUCAGUUGUGAAUAUUCACUUCCGGAAAUGAAUAGUAUACUUCUUAGUUGGCUACUGGCUCCUAUAUUGUAAGUAGCCUUUUUGUGAAAUAGGUAAUCAAAUGGAAAUAACUGUAUAUUUAACAUUUAAGUAUAUAUAGAUGCUAUACAAUGAUAUAAGUAAACAUCAACCUUGAGUUAUUAUUCAUGGAUACUAGUGGUCGGUCAAUUGCUUAAAGCCAACGUUUGUUGGCCACCCACAUGGAGGACAAGACUGGUGACAAGCCGCCUCGCCGUAGCUGCUCUCUGGUCGCGCUAGCAAUUCUGGUCUUUGGUCAAGGCAGCCUCUGGGUUUUUCAAAUUUCCCCAUUUUAGUGCAAGUCUCUAGAAACGAGAUCGUGGAUCUGCUUAUACCCACUCCUAGCAAGCUUGGAGCUGGACCCUGGUCCUUUGAAGGUCUCUUUUAUGUAUUCUCUACGUUAUAUAUCGUUUCUGCCUACGAAAUACCAGACGAAAUAGAACGAUCUUAGAAGGGAUAUGAUGAAAUUUUUUGACUAGUUCUUCCCAGAGAAAUGAUUCUGUUGUUAUUUUUUCCAGAUAAAUGCUCCGUUCUAGUUAUUUGAUCAAAUUAAUUACAAUCCUAGCUUGGAGCUGGACCUGAGACCUCAUACAUGUGGAAGAUCUCACCCAGUGAAUCGAUGGAAUGGGUCUCUUCUGAGUCUGUUGAACAUCUACUUUGGAAAUUGGAAGAGAUGAGGGGCAUUUGUGAGAAUAUAAACUUUUUAUCCAAUGAGAUAACUACAAGUGGACUUUAGUGGUACCAAAAGACAGAAAUACCUUCGACCAAGAAAUGGGAAGAAGCAUGCUUAGUAACA